rnacentral:lncRNA from 1 species
AUUAAAUGUUAGUCUUUCAAGCAUAUGUUAUGCACUGGCAUAUAAAAUUUUAUGUAAGAUUUAGUGUUCAUAAUACUCUCAUAGGAUCCACUGUACCACCGAUUUAAACUAAUAAUGCUGAAAAAGAUGUUUACCUUCAAGAUCCCUGUGGCACUUUAAAAGAUCAAUCAACUUGGCACUUUUGAAAAUUUAAAUUAAAUUGAUGAUGUCUCAUUACACUCUCUGAGGAGGGCAUAUAAAGACAUAGCAAGAAGACAACCAUCUACAAGCAAGAGAAGCCUCAGGCACAACCAAACCUGCAGAUAUUUCAUCUGGGAUUCCCAGCCUCCAGAACAGUGACAAAUAAAUCUAUUUUGUUUAAAAGCAACUCAAUCUAUGCUAUUUUGUUACAGAAGCCCUUGCAGACUAAGACACAUAUGUUCAUAUACAAAGAUGUUUAUUGAAGUAUUGUCUAUAUUAGUAAAGAACUUUAAAAAAGAAUACACAUCUACCGGAAAAUAACUGAAAAUAUUAUGGUAUAUUCACUUCAUGAAAUAUGAUGUGGAGCUUAUGAAGAAUAAUUCUGUCUACACUCCAGAUGAAAUGGUUAGAGAUCAA